AUGAUCAGGCCAAAAGAGCAGGGCGGGCUUGGCUUCCGGGAUUUUCGGCUUUUCAAUCAAGCCUUGCUUGCCCGACAAGCUUGGCGACUUCUCUCUAACCCUGACAGCUUGUGCGCGCAGGUUCUCAAGGCUCGGUACUAUCUCAAUGGGCGCCUGGAGGAUACAGUCUUCUCCGGCAAUGCGUCUUCGACAUGGCAGUCUAUUGUACACGGCCUCGACCUCCUUAAAAAGGGGUUAAUUUGGUGCAUUGGGGACGGCGCGUCGGUCCGCAUCUGGCGAGAUCAAUGGAUUCCGCACCCGGUUGCACGAGGCCCGAUCUCCCACCAAGGGCACUGUCGACUACGGCGAGUUAGUCAACUCUUGGACGACCAUGGCAAUUGGGACGUACCUCUUCUCCAGCAACACUUCUUGCAUGUGGACGUCAUGGAGAUAUUGAAGAUUAAAACUUCUUCAAGUCAAGCUGGUGAGUUUAUUGCAUGGGCGGCGGAGCGUACUGGUGUCUUCUCGGUGCGGAGUGCAUAUCGUCUCGCCCUCAACGAACGACUCCUAUCAUCGCCGGUCGCAGCGAGCAGGGCACCGGACGGGCGACGUGCCGUCUGGGCACUAAUAUGGAGGUGCCCUGCUCCGCCUAAGGUGCGUAUAUUUGCGUGGAAGCUUGCAUCAAACUCGUUGGCCACUUGGGCUAAUAAAAAGACACGAAACUGGAGAUUACUGAUACAUGUCCACUAUGGCACUCAGUCUCUCCACAUCAAAUGGCAACCUCCAGCCCAUGGUCGUGUAAAAUUAAAUGUUGAUGGGUCCUACUGUGAAGCUUCUAGAAAGGCAGGUGCGGGCAUGGUACUGCACGAUAGUGACGGUGCCAUCAUUUUCUCGGCUUGCAGAAGCCUGGUUAACUGCGCAAAUCCCUUGCAAGCUGAACUUGCAGCCUGCUUGGAGGGCUUAAACUUUGCUAUGCAAUGGUCGCCACUUCCUGUGGAUGUCGAGAUGGAUUGUCUGGUUGCCCUGGACUCGAUUCGGGCACCAGCGGAGGAUAGGUCGCUGCAUCCGAUGAUGAUAAAUGAACUGAAGUCGCUUCUUGCUGAUAGGGAUUGUUCCAUUGCUCAUAUUAGUAGGUGCUAA
rnacentral:rRNA from 1 species